GAGUUUGAUCCUGGCUCAGGAUGAACGCUGGCGGCGUGCCUAAUACAUGCAAGUCGAGCGAACAGAUAAGGAGCUUGCUCCUUUGAAGUUAGCGGCGGACGGGUGAGUAACACGUGGGUAACCUACCUAUAAGACUGGGAUAACUUCGGGAAACCGGAGCUAAUACCGGAUAACAUUUAGAACCGCAUGGUUCUAAAGUGAAAGAUGGUUUUGCUAUCACUUAUAGAUGGACCCGCGCCGUAUUAGCUAGUUGGUAAGGUAACGGCUUACCAAGGCGACGAUACGUAGCCGACCUGAGAGGGUGAUCGGCCACACUGGAACUGAGACACGGUCCAGACUCCUACGGGAGGCAGCAGUAGGGAAUCUUCCGCAAUGGGCGAAAGCCUGACGGAGCAACGCCGCGUGAGUGAUGAAGGGUUUCGGCUCGUAAAACUCUGUUAUUAGGGAAGAACAAAUGUGUAAGUAACUGUGCACAUCUUGACGGUACCUAAUCAGAA
rnacentral:rRNA from 1 species